UUUAAGCCCUCAUCCAACGUCCGAUACCCCUUCUUCCACUUAUUCUACUCUUCCUUUACAAAACAAUUAUUACCGGUUUAUACCAUAAAUUAGGGAUUUCCUCCCACUAUUCGCGACAUUCAAUUACCUUUAGUACACCGUAACUAAUUUCAUGAGUUACAUUAGAACAAUAACCCCCUAAAAUGUUCAACUACAUAAAUCUCUGGAGAGGUUAUCAUGAGGUUAUCAUCAGGUUAUCAUCUUCCCAGGUUUUCUCCAGCAUAUUGUCUGAAGCAUCCUAGCUUUGGAUGUAGAAGGCGCGGAGAGUUUGGAUUUGUUACCAAUUACCAAUUCUUUUUGAUGUUAUUAAUUCCUUUUGUUUCAAUUUAUAAUAAUCUAUGUAUUUUUUUUGUUUGGAAAUUAAUGACUGUUUUAAGUUUGUGUAGGUCACAAGAGUUCGGUUGAAAGUUUGGGUUCUCCCACAACAGAUGCUGACAAAUGACUGCGAUCCCAACCUAAAAAGGGAAAGCACCUGUAGGCAUUUUGGGUUCAUAGAGCUUCUUUUGCCAUAAUGAAAAUUCACGUACCGGGUAAUUUCUCAAUUGGUACUGUUACAUCCAGCUUUUGUUUAAUGAUUUUUUGGUGUUACCCCCACCAAAAUUGUUGGCGACCAUGGUAUUUUGUGUCUUGCCGAGACAGUAGUAAGAAAGUUGUGGACAAUCACCACCAAUGUCGUGUGCAAUCUGUUCGCAAAAAGUCUCCAUCGAGUUUGCAACUCUACUACGUACCAGCAGCUGAACCUAAUCGAUUACCACUUUUAUUGGUGUGCCAAAUUCGAAAAUGAUGAUGGAGGUCGCGUACCUAGGUAAUGCAGUUGUAAUUUUAUUUAUCUUCUGUAAACACAUGAUUUUGACAGCAUGGGUGUGCCCUUAGUAAAUGGUGGUUGUUGUAUAAUAAAAGUCAUAUUUUAAGGAGGUUGUCCACUUGAGGUACACCUUAAGCCAGCUUCUCCUAUAAAAGGAGGUUUCCCAAGAGGAAAGAGGGUAGAGCUUAUAGAAUACUUUAGAAGAGAUGGAAAGAAUUCUCCAGAGAAUGAUAUUGUGUAUUGGGAUUAGUCUCCUCAUUACCCUAUGAUAAUUUAUGGAUGUUUACACCUUCCAAUGUAUAUCUACAUAUUCAUCCGUACUAAUGUACUUGCACAUAGAAGGAUUUUUCUUUUUUUACCAAUGUAGUGCAUGUUGGGAUUUGAAGUUGAAGAUCAACAGUAUCCGACUUGUACAUGCGGGAGAGAAAUGCAGAGCUUCACCGUUACCCGAAUCCGCCAUGAUUAUGGUUGUCAAUCUUCAAACUGUAGCACUCCAUUCAAUUUGGUAAUACACGUGUACUGUGUAAUAAGUAUAAUUGUAUUUAGUUAACUGACGC